rnacentral:rRNA from 1 species
GAUGAACGCUAGCGGCAGGCUUAAUACAUGCAAGUCGAACGGUAAGGUCUCUUCGGAGAUACACGAGUGGCGCACGGGUGCGUAACGCGUAUGCAACCUACCUUUAACUGGGAAAUAGCCCCGAGAAAUCGGGAUUAAUGUCCCAUAUUAUUCUUUGAAUACCUAUUCGAGGAAUGAAAGCUCCGGCGGUUAUUGAUGGGCAUGCGUGACAUUAGCUAGUUGGUGAGGUAACGGCUCACCAAGGCAACGAUGUCUAGGGGUGCUGAGAGGGUUAACCCCCAGACGGGUACUGAGGAACGGACCAGACUCCUACGGGAGGCAGCAGUAAGGAAUAUUGGGCAAUGGACGCAAGUCUGACCCAGCCAUGCCGCGUGAAGGAUGAAUGUCCUAUGGAUUGUAAACUUCUUUUAUGCAGGAAAAAUAUCCCGGUCGUGAACCGGGACUGAUGGUACUGUAUGAAUAAGCAUCGGCUAACUCCGUGCCAGCCGCCGCGGUAA